UACGUAGGGUGCGAGCGUUAAUCGGAAUUACUGGGCGUAAAGUGUGCGCAGGCGGCCGCGCAAGUCGAGUGUGAAAUCCCCGAGCUUAACUUGGGAAUUGCGCUCGAAACUACGUGGCUGGAGUGUGGCAGAGGAAGGUGGAAUUCCACGUGUAGCGGUGAAAUGCGUAGAUAUGUGGAGGAACACCGAUGGCGAAGGCAGCCUUCUGGGCCAAUACUGACGCUCAUGCACGAAAGCGUGGGGAGCAAACAGG
rnacentral:rRNA from 1 species